AGCUUGAUUACGAAUUCAACUCUGCUUUGCAUGACCCUCAGUUCCAGGUUUUUCUUAAAUUCCCUUACUUGUACAUGUAACUAUUUUUUUAUACGUUUUCACGUACUCCUACACAGUUCUAGAGAGUUGUUUCCCAUGAGUAUCCUUGGGCUAAUUUAGCUGAACAAUAUUAUCAGAGCCCAGAAUCAGUAGGAGCAUGACGAUUACAAAGUGAUGAUGCGAGGCUCGGUUUGGAGACGUGCACUCAAAAAGAAGCUAGUAGCAGGCUUCGAUUGCCAUAAAUACUCUAAAAAUGUGCAUGGCACACAAUGAAUCACGUAAGUUGACCCAUGGAUUGUGAUAGUGGCCACGUAAAAAUUGAUCCAUCUCCAUACCAAUACUUCGGACAAGAUACAUAUCCAGGGAAGAUCCAUCCCUCAAUAUCAUCAACUGCGCUCACAGGGGGGUGUAAAGACUCCGGAGGGGAUUCUCUGAGCUUAAGCGAUAUAUCAAUGCCAGCGAAGGCAUGAUCAGUAUCUUGCUGCGGUGUGUAGCCCUAUCCCAUACUGUCAAUCAAUAUCAGGCUCUCGGCCUUACUCAGUCAAUGCUCUCCAGUCUCACACGCAUAUGCUAAGAUGUCAUGAUACAAGCCCGAAUAAUGAUAUGAUAUGUCAAAUGUAAUAAUCGAGACUGAAGCAUGAUAUAAUAUGCAUGAACAGGAUUGAGUAUAGAAUAUAAAUGAAGCUAAUAACAUGACAGCAAGAAAAGACCUCUCGGGUCUCAACAGUAUUAGCGUGAAGACUUAACAUGGUAAUUAGCAUGAUGUUGCAGCUCAUUGACUUAAUCACAUAGAUGCAACACAGAUAUCAGCAAUAAAGAGUCACUAAGUGGAGCUCUGGAAUGAUCCAGGCUGCUUUUCUCACGGUGCACGCCCAUACGUCCGUCACUUGGCAUUUGCGUCACCUCAAUAAUAAUCAUAGAAUACAUAGUUCGGGGUUUCGAACCCUCAGAACCAAGUUUGGAAGCGUUACUUACCGCAAGUCAAGCCAAAAUCUAGCCCGCAACGCCUUUUCCUCUCGACUCGGCCUCCAAAUGCCCGAAUCUAACCAAAAUCAAAACCAUAACAUCAAUAUAUACUUAGGGAACAAAGUCCAUGCGAAAAUAAUCAAAUUACAACACAAAUUCCAAAAUUUGGUCAAACCCGAACCCUGAGCCCACUUCUCGGAUUUCGAUAAAAUUCACAAAACUAGAAUCCUUACACUCUCACGAGUUCAUACACACC
rnacentral:lncRNA from 1 species